GCUCGAGCUGCUUCCGCGGCGAG
rnacentral:snRNA from 1 species